UUACGAUCAUAUCACGUUGAAACACCGGCUCUCGUUCGAUCAUCGAUGUUAAGCAACGUUGAACUUGUUCAGUACCUAAAUAAGUGACCGCUUUGGAAUACCUGAAGC